rnacentral:lncRNA from 10 species
GCCGGGGCCGGGGCCCCCCCUAACCACUGCCUCGCUCAGGCUGCCGAUCGGCUCGUUCUCUCUGCGUUGGGACCGCGGAGGGCAUUCGCUGUGUGACUCAGGGCAAGUGUGCGCACCUCUCUGAGCCUCCGCGGCCUUCUCUAGCAAAAUGGUGGAGCCGGUACCCGGCUGUAAGGCAAGCUGGGAUGCGCGGAGUAGCGGGUGGAAAGCUGGACUGGAGUUCUCACUCGGCCGCUGGGUGACUUCGGUGCACUAGGGAUAGUAACAGUACCACCUCGUAGGGUUGUAGAAAGACCAAGUGAGUUAAUAUUUGUAAAGUGUUUAGAACAGCGUCUACUGCAUGGAAAGUAGUAUUUAUUUGUUAGAGAGACUCCAGGAGGUCUUGCCCAGGGAUUGACUUCUCCCUUCCCUGUCUCCACCCCCCACAUUCCCGUUUGUGAGCCAAGCCUUGCUUUUGCACCGGCCGGGCUCUCUUGCCUGGAAAUGCAUACCCAUCUCAAACCUGGGCUUUAAAAUCACCUCCUCUGGGACGCCUUCCUCUACUUCUCACAGUUCAGGCCUGUUCUGCCCCACACAGCAGAAAAUGCCCACGAUGCAAUACCAGAGUCUGCAUGGGACCAUUUCAACAACCCUUAGAAGCUGACUCAGCUGUCUCCUGGCCCUGACUUUUCUAAGAUGAGAGGAGCUGGUAGGAACAAUUUGGGAACCCUCAAAGGCUGAGAGUAUCCCACCCACUUCACAGAUGAAGCAAACUGAGGCCCAGAGAAGGGAAAUUACUUGCCCAAGAUCACCCAGCAAGUAAGAAACAGAGCUGGAGAUGAGCUCAGGCCAGCACGGAACCACGCAAACUCCUUCUGUAGGCUUUGUAAAGGAUUGAUGAGAAAAGCAGAUGGUUAAGAGCUCUACAACUUCUGUGAGCUCAUGCCUAAGGAAUCUACAGUGUUUAAAGCUCCCCAGGGCCAG